UACGGGGGGGGCAAGCGUUGUUCGGAAUUACUGGGCGUAAAGGGCUCGUAGGUGGCCAACUAAGUCAGACGUGAAAUCCCUCAGCUUAACUGGGGAACUGCGUCUGAUACUGGAUGGCUUGAGUUUGGGAGAGGGAUGCGGAAUUCCAGGUGUAGCGGUGAAAUGCGUAGAGAUCGGGAAGAACAUCAGUGGCGAAGGCGGCCUGCUGGGCUGUUGCUGACGCUGAGGCGCGACAGCGUGGGGAGCAAACAGG
rnacentral:rRNA from 1 species